rfam:Ornithorhynchus anatinus chromosome X1, whole genome shotgun sequence.
CGGUGUGAGGAGGACAUAUGUGGUGUGGUUUGAUAGUAGAAUAUGCUGCAUCAUGCGUGACCUCCCCACGCCGU